GAAGAGAAAAGUCUCCAUUUUCUUCAGCUGCAUAUCACAAAGGCAGUAGUAACCUUAAUAAUAAUGAUGAAAAGCAAGUCCGUGAAAUCUAAGCUUGCUUAAAUGCGUGAGAAUAUAACAUAGAGAACAAAAACAAAUAUAUUCUCCUCAUAAUUAUCUUUCAACUUUAUGAGAAAAGUUCACAAAAGGGGAGAAUCNNNNNNNNAAUUACUGAAUUACAGAGAGAACAAAUACCUAAUAAAUCUUUAAGCACUGGGAAAUAAGAUAAAAUCAUAACAGAUCUCAAACUCAAUAAUGGACCUCGCAGGGUGGAUGUAGCCAUCUAUUUGUAGAAAUAGAAUUUCCAUAAUAGAUUUCCAAUAAGGGAACUCAAACCAAACAGCACGAUGAAAAUAUUAGCUCUAAAACCAAAAGGCUAUAGUCAAGUAUCUUUUGACUUUUUGUGAAUUUCAGGGUUGUCCUGCUUUGUAACAAUUUUCUUAUUCCUCCCCCCACCCCCCUUUUCUCUCUCCCUUACCCUGUUCAUCAAUAAUUAAUUAAAAACAGAAAUCCCCUACCGACACAUCAAGGCUAAUUGAAGUAGAAAGGGCAAGUGCUCUUUUCUAGCUGCAUCUCAGAAAGCAAUAUAUUACGAGUCCCAUAACUGAUAAAUACAAA
rnacentral:misc_RNA from 1 species